GUCCAAGUCAAGCAAAUGCAAUUUGGCAUAGCAUUUUUAAAGUUUGUUGUUUAGCACUUUGACCUAAAUUACUUUCUUGUUAAUUUUUAAAGCAACAUUUUAAAAAUUUACAUCAAGGUUAAAUUAAAACUCACAAGAUACCAAGUCACAAGUUUACCCCAGGAAAUCUAUUGUCAUUCCUUCCACCUAACAGCCAAUCAAACUAAAAUAAACCCGAGGACAACCCAAGUGGAAAGUAUGAAAAGGGGUAUAGGAGAGAGACGUCUUUACUUCAAACAGACUAACAACUAAAAGUAAGGUCCUGGGGAACUUUGGAUAUUAAUUAAUUAACUAAUUUGGGGGUAAUAAAUUCAUCACCAAACGCAGAUUAUGUACUUAAGCAGCGAUGGUGCAGAAGCUGUUUUUCAACGCUUAGAUUCUCCAAAAAAAAAAAAAAAAGGCUUUGAUUCUCAGGGGGCAGAAGACAGAAAGUUACAGUUUUAAAAGCAAAGGAGUAAUAACGGAAAGAUGUAUUGAAAACAGAGUUCACACUAGCUUCUAGUCUUCUCUCCCCAUUGUUUCUAUGCCUUUUGGCUAAGACCAAUCGUAGUCUUUUCGCUCCCCAAGCCUUCACCUGAAACGCCGCCUCUUCACAGCGGCCCCUCCCCGUAACCCGCCCAGUCACAGAGCGCAAGCCCCACCCCCUGGGCUGAGGGCCGGGCAGAAACUCUGGCAAAAUAAGGAAGCCUCUGGGAGCUGGCAAGCAGCCAACUUAAACUGGAUGAUUCCAGUUUAGGCUAGUUUUGAGUCACAAACAAGCAGUUCCUAGCUUUCCCCACAACAUUCAGAGGCACUGGCUGCCCAGGCGGCACACGAUGAGCUCUCCUCAUUUGCUCUCAUUGCUAAGCCUGCCUCGUUCUCAUUUCCCUAGCAGCAGCAGAUCUUAAAUCAAAGCAGGGUUCCCAAUACAGCAAAUACGAUCAGCUCAGCACUUGUUUCCAAGACAGACUGCCUCUUCCACCCAGAACAGUAAUGCAAGCAACACCUACACCUCUCAAAAGCCUUACUGAAAUGCUGUACUUGACAGAAGAAGAAAAAUAGAAAGGACAGAUCUAUUUCUAGAUAUCCGUAAUGGAAGUUAAGCCCACCAGAGCAAUUAGAAAGCAAACACUUCCAUUUUCCAUAUUUGGCAUAAAAAAGGCUUGGCUGGUUAAUAUGACCCUUAAAGACCAAGGUGUGUAGCUUACUGCCCCAAAACAAAGUAUAGCUAUACAGUAGCCUAGAAAGGAAUGUGUUUCCAAAAUUUGGGCUCUUCAGUUUGCCUGCCACUGAUGGGAAUAGAAAAAAAAAUACUACCAUUAAACUAAAACAAAAUAUUUAUAUAAAUUAAUGUGUACUGGUGGGUGUACUUCUCUCCAAAGCACACAAAGCUAAACAUGUAUUGUAUGCUGCUAAACAGCCCCAAAACUACAUUAAUAGGGGGGAAUGAGCAACUGCUACUUCUUUUGGAAAGUAAAAGUACUUAAGGCAGCCCCACUUACAAUGAGACAAAAUAUAAUGUGGAUUUUUUUCCCUUUUUAUGGCAGCACCAGCCACAUAUGGAAGUUCCGGGGCUAGGGAAUGAAUUGGAACUGCAACUGCCAACCUACACCACAGCCACAGCAACAUCCAAGCUGAAGCUUGCAGCAAUGCCGGAUCCUUAACCGCACUGAGCGAGGCCAGGGAUCAAACCCGCAGCCUCACGGACACUACAUUGGGUCCUUAAACCUCUAAACAACAGUGGGAACUCCUUAACUUUCUGGGUUUUUUUUCUUUUUCCACGGCAUCAGCAGCAUAUGGAAGUUCCCAGGCCAGGGAUCAAUUGCCAGCUGCAGGUGCAACCUACACCACAGCUGUGGCAACACUGGAUCCUAAACCCACUGUGCCGGGCAAGGGAUCAAAUCUGAGCCGACUGAAAAGACAUCAGAUCCAUAACCCACUGCACUACAGUGGGAACUCCAAGAAGGUAACUUUUAAAAGAAUUUAUACCCCAAUAUUUUGGGGAAAGAAUAAUCACAUAGUCAAUAAAGCCAUUCAUCACAAAUAAGAGUUGAAAAUUUCAAAAUAAUUUAAUAUCUGGAAAGGUCCAGAGUAAUGAAUACAUUUUAUCCAUAACGCUGAUUUUUGGCAAGACAUUCUCCCUUUUGAUUAUUUCAUGUAUCUAAAAAAAAGUAAAAAUGAGGCAGAAGAAAAUAAUAAAACAGACCAAGAAUGGCUGUGAAAUCCAGAAAUACAUCAGCUACUUAAUAUUUAAAAUGUAAUAUUUCACUCAGACUUAAGAGUAUAGGAGUUCCCACUGUGGCACAGGAGAUGACACUUGUGGCAUAAGUCACAGGUGUGGCUCAGAUUUGAUCCCUGAUCUGGGAACUUCCAUGUGCCACGGGUGUGGCAAAAAAAAAAGUACAUGUUUUCAUUUUAAAUAAAAAAAUUAAGGGCAAAAAUAUAAAGAAACAUCAUUCCUGAGAAUAUCUGUUAUCCUUGACUCUGGCUUCUUUCAAAGGCUUUUUGAUAAAUCUUCACUGUUCCUCCUUGAAAGUCCUCUGAUUCCAAAACAUACACUUUGUUUCUUAUCUCUCAAAUCAAUAAAUAUCUAAUCAUUGAUCAUCGUAUUUUAGUUAAAUUUAUGUUUCAAUGGUCUCUGAGCACAGGUAUCUUCUCUUUACACAUUCAAAAAACAAAAAUACCCUUUUUUUUUUUUUUUUUUUUUUUUUUUUUUGUCUUUUUAGGGCUGCACCUGCAGCACAUGGAGGUUCCCAGGCUAGGGAUUGAAUCAGAGCUGUAGCCGCUGACCUGCAAGCCAAGUCUAAGACCAAGCCGAGUCUGCAACCUACACCACAGCUCACAACAAUGCCAGAUCCUUAACCCACUGAGCAACACCAAGGAUCAAACCUACGUCCUCAUGGAUACUAGUCCUCAUGCUUCCACUGAGCCAUGACAAAAAUACCAUUUCAAUUUAAGCAAUAAGCCAAUUAAAAUUUUUUUUUUUUUUUUUGGCCACACCUGAGGAAUGUGGAAGGUUCCUGGACCAAGAAUUGAACCCUCACCACAGCAGCAAUGCAGUAACAACUCAUUGGGCCACAAGAGAACUCCCAAGACCAGCUUAAUUUCUAUUCUAACUCCAGUCCUAUGCAGCUACAAACAGAAUGGGGCGGCGGGGGGGGGGGGGGGGUCAUGGUUCCUAAUCACCAAUUUCCUCAAAACCAUUUACUUCAAUUAUAUCAUUUUUUCUGAGAUUAAAAGGCAUUAUUUUUAGGAGUUCCCAUUGUAGCACAGUGGAAAUGAAUCUGACUAGUAUCCAUGGGUUUGAUCCCUGGCCUCACUCAGUGGAUUAAGGAUCUGGUGUUCUGUGAGCUGUGGUGUAGGUCACAGAAUUGGCUGGGAUCCUGAGUUGCUGUGGCUGUGGCAUAGGCCAACAACUGCAACUCUGAUUCAACCCCUAGCUUGAAAACUUCCUUAUGCUGCAAAUGCAGCCCUAAAAAAAGCAAAAGCAAAAAA
rnacentral:lncRNA from 1 species